GUGGAAUUUUCCGCAAUGGGCGAAAGCCUGACGGAGCAAGACCGCGUGAGGGAGGAAGGCUCUUGGGUUGUAAACCUCUUUUCUCAAGGAAGAAACAAUGACGGUACUUGAGGAAUCAGCAUCGGCUAACUCCGUGCCAGCAGCCGCGGUAAUACGGAGGAUGCAAGCGUUAUCCGGAAUGAUUGGGCGUAAAGCGUCCGCAGGUGGCCGCUCAAGUCUGCCGUCAAAGACUCCAGCUUAACUGGAGAAAGGCGGUGGAAACUGAACUUAGCUAGAGUGCGGUAGGGGCAGAGGGAAUUCCCGGUGUAGCGGUGAAAUGCGUAGAGAUCGGGAAGAACACCAGUGGGGAAAGCGCUCUGCUGGACCGCAACUGACACUCAGGGACGAAAGCUAGGGGAGCGAAUGGGAUUAGAUACCCCAGUAGUCCUAGCCGUAAACGAUGGAUACUAGGUGUUGUGCGUAUCGACCCGCGCAGUGCCGCAGCUAACGCGCUAAGUAUCCCGCCUGGGGAGUACGCACGCAAGUGUGAAACUCAAAGGAAUUGACGGGGGCCCGCACAAGCGGUGGAGUAUGUGGUUUAAUUCGAUGCAACGCGAAGAACCUUACCAGGGCUUGACAUGUCCGGAAUCUUUGGGAAACUAAAGAGUGCCUUCGGGAACCGGAACACAGGUGGUGCAUGGCUGUCGUCAGCUCGUGUCGUGAGAUGUUGGGUUAAGUCCCGCAACGAGCGCAACCCUCGUUUCUAGUUGCCAGCAUUCAGUUGGGCACUCUGGAGAGACUGCCGGUGACAAACCGGAGGAAGGUGGGGAUGACGUCAAGUCAGCAUGCCCCUUACGUCCUGGGCUACACACGUACUACAAUGCUUCAGACAAAGGGCAGCCAGCCAGCAAUGGUGAGCUAAUCCCAUAAACUGAGGCUCAGUUCAGAUCGCAGGCUGCAACUCGCCUGCGUGAAGGCGGAAUCGCUAGUAAUCGCCGGUCAGCAUACGGCGGUGAAUACGUUCCCGGGCCUUGUACACACCGCCCGUCACACCAUGGGAGCUGGCGGUGCCCGAAGUCGUUAUCCUAACCUGCAAAGGAGGGAGACGCCGAAGGCAGAGUUGGUGAUUGGGGUGAAGUYGUAACAAGGUAGCCGUACCGGAAGGUGUGGCUGGAUCACCUCCUUUUUAGGGAGACCUACCCAUCGGUCGUACCAAAGCCAAACACAAGUACGAACGACAGGUCAAACCCAAGGUCGAGCGAGGUAGCCAAACUGGCUUUCAAACUAACAUAGGUUCGGCAAGCCCAGCCUUGAGCUUGCCAACAUGGGCUAUUAGCUCAGGUGGUUAGAGCGCACCCCUGAUAAGGGUGAGGUCCCUGGUUCGAGUCCAGGAUGGCCCAC
rnacentral:misc_RNA from 1 species